AUACGAGAGGCUCAAGUUGACAGACAGCGGCGUAAAGAGUGGUUAGGGAGACCUUGAAACUAAAGCCGAACGCCCUCAGAACUGUUAUACGUUUCCGAAGGUAUGAAGUCCCACUACGAAAGUGGCUUUACCCCCCCCCCCGACCCCACGAAAGCUGUGAAACAAACCGGGAUUAGAUACCCCAUUAUGCUCAGCCUUAAACCUUGAUAGUCCACUUACAAUCACUAUCCGCCCGGGUACUACGAGCAUUAGCUUAAAACCCAAAGGACUUGGCGGUGCUUAACAUCCACCUAGAGGAGCCUGUUCUAGAACCGAUAAUCCCCGUUAAACCUCACCCUCUCUUGUUUUUCCCGCCUAUAUACCGCCGUCGUCAGCUUACCCCGUGAGGAACCCAUAGUAAGCACAAUUGGUAGAACCCAAAACGUCAGGUCGAGGUGUAGCUAAUGAGAGGGGAAGAAAUGGGCUACAUUUCCUAAACUAGGAAACACGAACAAUGUCCUGAAACGGACAUUAGAAGGAGGAUUUAGUAGUAAGCAGAAAAUAGAGCGUUCCGCUGAGCCUGGCCUUAAAGCGCGCACACACCGCCCGU
rnacentral:rRNA from 1 species